UACAGAGGUCUCAAGCGUUGUUCGGAUUCAUUGGGCGUAAAGGGUGCGUAGGUGGCGCCGUAAGUCAGGUGUGAAAUCCCGGGGCUCAACCCCGGAACUGCACUUGAUACUGCGGUGCUCGAGUACUGGAGAGGAGAUUGGAAUUUACGGUGUAGCAGUGAAAUGCGUAGAUAUCGUAAGGAAGACCAGUGGCGAAGGCGGGUCUCUGGACAGUUCCUGACGCUGAGGAGCGAAAGCCAGGGGAGCAAACGGG
rnacentral:rRNA from 1 species